GUCUGGUUGAAUUUCUUAAACCAGUCUAACCUGCCCACUGAAAUUUUAAAGGCCGCGGUAUCAUGACCGUGCGAAGGUAGCAUAAUAAUUAGUCUUUUAAUUGAAGACUGGAAUGAAAGGUUGGACAAAAAGUUAUCUGUCCCUAAAUUAACAAUUUAACUUAACAUUUAAGUGAAAAGGCUUAAAUAACCUUAAAAGACGACAAGACCCUGUAAAACUUUAUAUAAUAAUUAUUAUUUUUUAAUUAUAAGUUCAUUUAAAAUUUUAAUAAAUUGUAUUACGUUGGGGCGACGAAAGCAUAUUUAAACCUGCUUUUUAAAUAACACAAUUAUYUUUGUAAUARAUGACCCUUAAAUAAGAACAAAAGUAGAAGUUACUUCAGGGAUAACAGCGUUAUUUUUUUUAAGAGUCCUUAUCGACAAAAAAGUUUGCGACCUCGAUGUUGAAUUAAAAUUUCAUCACAUAUGCAGUAGUUGUGAAGGUAGGUCUGUUCGACCUUUAAAAUUUUACAUGAUUUGAGUUCAAACCGGUGUAAG
rnacentral:rRNA from 1 species